GACGAACGCUGGCGGCGUGCUUAACACAUGCAAGUCGAACGGAAAGGCCCUGCUUUUGUGGGGUGCUCGAGUGGCGAACGGGUGAGUAACACGUGAGUAACAUGCCCUUGACUUUGGGAUAACUUCAGGAAACUGGGGCUAAUACCGGAUAGGAGCUCCUGCUGCAUGGUGGGGGUUGGAAAGUUUCGGCGGUUGGGGAUGGACUCGCGGCUUAUCAGCUUGUUGGUGGGGUAGUGGCUUACCAAGGCUUUGACGGGUAGCCGGCCUGAGAGGGUGACCGGCCACAUUGGGACUGAGAUACGGCCCAGACUCUUACGGGAGGCAGCAGUGGGGAAUAUUGCACAAUGGGCGGAAGCCUGAUGCAGCAACGCCGCGUGCGGGAUGACGGCCUUCGGGUUGUAAACCGCUUUCGCCUGUGACGAAGCGUGAGUGACGGUAAUGGGUAAAGAAGCACCGGCUAACUACGUG
rnacentral:rRNA from 1 species